ACCAGGAAGCCGGUGCGAAUCCGGCACGGUCCCGCCACUGUGACCGGUGAGCGGACCCCACAAUGCGGCCACGGCCCGCGAGAGCGGGCGGGAAGGCCGGGGCGAGCGUCGAUCCGGGAGUCAGGAGACUG
rnacentral:ncRNA from 2 species